UAUUGAGUUUCCUUCUCUGGACUAGGUUGGGAACAGCCAGACCCAGUAUCUGAUGUCAUCUUAUUACCAAAAGUGAAAGAGGGAGAAACAUGGCCAAGCCAACUGGCAAUGAGUUCUUAGGGUGGACAUGGGAACACACGGAUCUAACAAAUGUACAGAAAGACAGAGAGGUUUCUGGAGACCAUGUUCAUUUCUUCUGAAUAUGAAGGGGAAUAAAGUGUUUGGAAUGGGCAAGACCUGCAAGGAGUCAGCAACUGCCUUGCAUGAGGAGAAGCUAGGGGAAAGAGAUUGGGUGGAGAUAGGAUUCUGCAUAGCUCCAGGAUGCUAUUCCAUCUUCCCUUGCCUACUUCUCCCCCUCUUCCCCCAAGUGCCUUACAUCCAGCUUCUCCUUGGUGCACUGCAGUCUCCUGGGGUCAAUAGAAACUGGGAAAGGCAUCUCCAGAGGGCCUAACAAGUAGAUAUAACCCAAGAGGUAGGUGCCCUCAAAACUUUGUAUAGACACCAAAAAGCCUUUAGGUGAAAGACCAGGUGGCUAUAACAGAUUUG
rnacentral:lncRNA from 1 species